rnacentral:rRNA from 1 species
CCUACGGGAGGCUGCAGUGAGGAAUAUUGGUCAAUGGGCGUAAGCCUGAACCAGCCAAGUCGCGUGAGGGAUGAAGGUUCUAUGGAUCGUAAACCUCUUUUAUCAGGGAAUAAAGUGUGGGACGUGUCCUAUUUUGUAUGUACCUUAUGAAUAAGGAUCGGCUAACUCCGUGCCAGCAGCCGCGGUAAUACGGAGGAUUCGAGCGUUAUCCGGAUUUCUUGGGUUUAAAGGGUGCGUAGGCGGCCUUUUAAGUCAGCGGGGAAAGUCUGUGGCUCAACCAUAGGAGUGCCGUUGAAACUGGGGGGCUUGAGUAUGUUUGAGGCAGGCGGAAUGCGUGGUGUAGCGGUGAAAUGCAUAGAUAGCACGCAGAACCCCGAUUGCGAAGGCAGCCUGCCAGGCCCUGACUGACGCUGAUGCACGAAAGCGUGGGGAUCAAACAGGAUUAGAUACCCUAGUAGUC